rnacentral:rRNA from 1 species
UACAGAGGGGGCAAGCGUUAUUCGGAAUUAUUGGGCGUAAAGGGCGCGUAGGCGGCCUGGCAAGUGGAAGGUGAAAUCCCUCGGCUUAACCGAGGAACUGCCCUCCAAACUGCUUGGCUUGAGUCCGGGAGAGGUGAGUGGAAUUCCCGGUGUAGCGGUGAAAUGCGCAGAUAUCGGGAGGAACACCAAUUGCGAAGGCAGCUCGCUGGGACGUAACUGACGCUGAGACGCGAAAGCGUGGGGAGCAAACAGG